rnacentral:rRNA from 1 species
GACGAACGCUGGCGGCGUGCUUAACACAUGCAAGUCGAACGGAAAGGCCCUGCUUUUGUGGGGUGUCCGAGUGGCGAACGGGUGAGUAACACAUGAGUAUCCUGCCCUUGACUGUGGGAUAACUUCAGGAAACCGGUGCUACUACCGGCGAGGAGCUCCUGCUGCAGGGGGGUGGUUGGAAAGUUUCGGCGGAUGGGGCUGGACUCGGGGGUAAUUAGCUUGUUGGUGGGGUAGUGGCUUACGAAGGCUUCGACGGGUGGUCGGCCUGGGAGCGUGGACGGCCUCAAUGGGCCUGCGGUAGGGCCCAGACUCCUAUGGGAGGCAGCGGUGGGGAAUAUUGCACAGCGGGCGGAAGCCUGUUGAGACGACGCCCCGUGCGGGAUGAAGGCCUUCGGGUUGUGAACCGCUUUCGCCUGUGACGAAGCGUGAGUGACGGUAAUGGGUAAAGAAGCACCGGCUAACUACGUG